GAAGACUGGACACCACAAGAGCAAAUAAAAUGCUUAUUGACUUUUGACAGAACUUUUCUACAGAACACGAAAUCUUAAAACAUGAGGGGUCCUGUUGGGAUCCAUAACAGCAUGGAUGGAUGUAAACCAAAUAAAAUAAACAUUUAGGUAGGGUCUGAAGCAACUGAAUAAGCCUCUUUUAUCACAGAGAGAUUAACCAUCAAGCUUCAAAUUCUACGGAGAUGCAGCACAUGUUAAUAACAUUUACCAAUGACACCAAUGUGGGCCCAGUAGCAUACAACAGCAUAUCAACAUUUACUGGAGAAGAGUUCGAUGAACGCCAUUGGCCUGAGACAGGUAGUAUGCCUAUCAUAUUCUAUUGUCAAAGGAACAAGGAGACAUGCAGCGAAUUAAUGUAGAUCCGGACGAACACGGCUACCCCUCUGAUACUUAAAAAUAAUUGUUUCUCGUAAAAGAUAAAACAUCAUCUAUAACGAGGCCCAGAUACAAAAUAUGCUUACGUAGAACAUUAGCCCAAUGGAAGAAUAAAGAUAUGCCCUCUCCAUCCA
rnacentral:lncRNA from 1 species